CCCUUAGAUGUCCUGGGCCGCACGCGCGCUACACUGAUGCAUUCAACGAGUUUUACCUUGGCCGAGAGGCCUGGGCAAUCUUUUAAACCUGCAUCGUGAUAGGGAUAGAUUAUUGCAAUUACUAAUCUUGAACGAGGAAUUCCUAGUAAACGCAAAUCAUCAAUUUGCAUUGAUUACGUCCCUGCCCUUUGUACACACCGCCCGUCGCACCUACCGAUUGAAUGGUCCGGUGAAGCCUCGGGAUUGUGGCCAGUUCACUUUAUUGGGAGUUGGCUGUGAGAACUUGUCUAAACCUUAUCAUUUAGAGGAAGGUGAAGUCGUAACA
rnacentral:rRNA from 1 species